rnacentral:snRNA from 1 species
AGCUUUGCGCAGUGGCAGUAUCGUAGCCAAUGAGGUUUAUCCGAGGCGCGAUUAUUGCUAAUUGAAACAAACAUUUAGAAAUAAUACAGCAAAAUAUUGAACAGAUAAUAUGCUAU